rnacentral:rRNA from 1 species
UACGUAGGGUGCAAGCGUUGUCCGGAAUUAUUGGGCGUAAAGAGCUCGUAGGCGAUCUGUCGCGUCUGCUGUGAAAAUCCAGGGCUCAACCCUGGACCUGCAGUGGGUACGGGCAGACUAGAGUGCGGUAGGGGAGAUCGGAAUUCCUGGUGUAGCGGUGAAAUGCGCAGAUAUCAGGAGGAACACCGGUGGCGAAGGCGGAUCUCUGGGCCGUAACUGACGCUGAGGAGCGAAAGCAUGGGGAGCAAACAGG